rnacentral:tRNA from 1 species
GUCUGCAUGGCUCAGUUGGUUAGAGCGCCGGUCUCAUACUUGCAGUAUGCGGAUCACUUGAUCUAAAUCCGGAGAUCGCCAGUUCGAUCCUGGCUGCGGACA